AAUGAACGUUAGCGGCGCGCCUGAUGCAUGCAAGUCGAACGGUUUGAUAAUUCGCAAGAAAAUCAGAUAGUGGCGAACGGCUGAGUAACGCGUAAGUAACCUGCCUCUAAGUGCGGAAUAACCUGCCGAAAGGCAAGCUAAUACCGCAUGUGCUGAUAAAUUUACAUUUUUCAGUAAAGCCUUUGGGCGCUUAGAGAAGGGCUUGCGUCUGAUUAGCUAGUUGGUUGGGUAAUGGCUUACCAAGGCGAUUAUCAGUAGCUGGUCUUAGAGGACGACCAGCCAGACAGGGACUGAGACACGGCCCUGACUCCUACGGGAGGCAG
rnacentral:rRNA from 1 species